AGCACCAUGAAAAACAAAUGGGGACUUCAAUCACACCUGCCCAGGGAAUUAAGGUGUGUCUCAAGAUGUCGAUGAACGGCUCCUAAAAAUAUAUCCAGGUUGAGGCGUCAGUAGAAGGU